GUAUAUAUAUAUAUAUAUAUACAAACAUCUACAUUUAUGCAUGCUUGACAAUCAGUGUUGGUUUGUUCGUACCUCAGUAACUUUAGCAGUUCAACAAAAUAGAAUAAUUACCAGACUUACAAAAACACAACCUACUAUAAUUUCAGAGCUGUACCCCUAGCAUAGCCAUAGUCCAAUGACUGAAAUAAAUUAAAAAUAACAGAUAACUGAUAAGUUUGAUAUUCAAAAUAUAAUGCUUGUUGGUGAUUUAUUCUAUCCACAGGGAGAAAUACAGAGACAUUUAUUUGCAAUUGUCACUAUACAGUGAUGGCUGUGAUGUGUUUUGGGAAAAAAAGGCUUAACUUCUAUUAUGUUAUAAUUAUAGUAGAGAAUGAACGCUGUGUAAAUGCAUAAUUAAUGACCAGAUUUGAAUAAAUUACCAAGUUAGCUCUGUUUAUGCAAAUUGAACUAAUCAAGUCAGCAAACUCAUAAUAUAUUUUUGCAUAUAUCUGUAUGUGUAUGUUCCUUUUAUGUAAUGAGAUGUGUAAUCGAGUGUCUUUAUAUAUAUAUAUAUAUAUAUAUAUAUAUAUAUAUGCAUGUACAGUCACACAUUUGGUGCUUUAGUGUGGAUCUGCCCAUACUACAGCACUACUCGAAAAUUCCUUUACGUACAUUUAUACACUCUUAUGCUCCCAUAGUGAAACUUUACCGACUGUCCUUCCAACACACUCCAUAUUCGGUGGGUUUUUUUUGGGGUGGGGGGUUAGUAUACAGAUGCUUACAACAAAACUUAACUCCCCCUCCCUAUAUUUCCUUGUUAUUGUUGAAUCAAUUUUGACAUGCAUGGAAGAAGUCAUAGCUGUCUAUGACUGAUUUUAUAAACAUUUACAAUGAAAAUGUUUUAAUAAAAAUGUUAAACUGAA